rnacentral:rRNA from 1 species
UACGGAGGGGGCCAGCGUUGUUCGGAAUUAUUGGGCGUAAAGGGCGCGUAGGCGGCUAGGUAAGUCAAAUGUGAAAUCCCGAGGCUCAACCACGGAAUUGCGUUUGAAACUGCCUGGCUUGAGUCCCGGAGAGGGUAGUGGAAUUCCCAGUGUAGCGGUGAAAUGCGUAGAUAUUGGGAGGAACACCAGUGGCGAAGGCGACUACCUGGACGGGUACUGACGCUGAAGCGCGAAAGCGUGGGGAGCAAAC